rnacentral:tRNA from 1 species
CGAACGCGAGUCGGUCGGCCCCACCGCAGCCGGCCCCGGGCCGGUCGGCCCGCUAGCGGGCCCUGGACCGGCCGGUUCGGCCCCGGCCACGUUCGG